rnacentral:rRNA from 1 species
GGAGAGUUUGAUCAUGGCUCAGAUUGAACGCUGGCGGCAGGCCUAACACAUGCAAGUCGAGCGGUAACAGAGAGUAGCUUGCUACUUUGCUGACGAGCGGCGGACGGGUGAGUAAUGCUUGGGAAUAUGCCUUUUGGUGGGGGACAAUAGUUGGAAACGACUGCUAAUACCGCAUGAUGUCUACGGACCAAAGUGGGGGACCUUCGGGCCUCACGCCAAAAGAUUAGCCCAAGUGGGAUUAGCUAGUUGGUAAGGUAAUGGCUUACCAAGGCGACGAUCCCUAGCUGGUUUGAGAGGAUGAUCAGCCACACUGGGACUGAGACACGGCCCAGACUCCUACGGGAGGCAGCAGUGGGGAAUAUUGCACAAUGGGCGCAAGCCUGAUGCAGCCAUGCCGCGUGUGUGAAGAAGGCCUUCGGGUUGUAAAGCACUUUCAGUAAGGAGGAAAGGUUAAGUUUUAAUAGAGCUUAGCUGUGACGUUACUUACAGAAGAAGCACCGGCUAACUCCGUGCCAGCAGCCGCGGUAAUACGGAGGGUGCGAGCGUUAAUCGGAAUUACUGGGCGUAAAGCGUACGCAGGCGGUUUGUUAAGCGAGAUGUGAAAGCCCCGGGCUCAACCUGGGAACUGCAUUAAUCACUAGUGCGGCCGCCUGCAGGUCGACCAUAUGGGAGAGCUCCCAACGCGUGGAUGCAUAGCUUGAGUAUUCUAUAGUGUCACCUAAAUAGCUUGGCGUAAUCAUGGUCAUAGCUGUUUCUGUG